rnacentral:rRNA from 1 species
GACGAACGCUGGCGGCGUGCCUAAUACAUGCAAGUAGAACGCUGAAGAGAGGAGCUUGCUCUUCUUGGAUGAGUUGCGAACGGGUGAGUAACGCGUAGGUAACCUGCCUUGUAGCGGGGGAUAACUAUUGGAAACGAUAGCUAAUACCGCAUAACAAUGGAUGACACAUGUCAUUUAUUUGAAAGGGGCAAUUGCUCCACUACAAGAUGGACCUGCGUUGUAUUAGCUAGUAGGUGAGGUAAUGGCUCACCUAGGCGACGAUACAUAGCCGACCUGAGAGGGUGAUCGGCCACACUGGGACUGAGACACGGCCCAGACUCCUACGGGAGGCAGCAGUAGGGAAUCUUCGGCAAUGGGGGCAACCCUGACCGAGCAACGCCGCGUGAGUGAAGAAGGUUUUCGGAUCGUAAAGCUCUGUUGUAAGUCAAGAACGGGUGUGAGAGUGGAAAGUUCACACUGUGACGGUAGCUUACCAGAAAGGGACGGCUAACUACGUGCCAGCAGCCGCGGUAAUACGUAGGUCCCGAGCGUUGUCCGGAUUUAUUGGGCGUAAAGCGAGCGCAGGCGGUUUGAUAAGUCUGAAGUUAAAGGCUGUGGCUCAACCAUAGUUCGCUUUGGAAACUGUCAAACUUGAGUGCAGAAGGGGAGAGUGGAAUUCCAUGUGUAGCGGUGAAAUGCGUAGAUAUAUGGAGGAACACCGGUGGCGAAAGCGGCUCUCUGGUCUGUAACUGACGCUGAGGCUCGAAAGCGUGGGGAGCGAACAGGAUUAGAUACCCUGGUAGUCCACGCCGUAAACGAUGAGUGCUAGGUGUUGGAUCCUUUCCGGGAUUCAGUGCCGCAGCUAACGCAUUAAGCACUCCGCCUGGGGAGUACGACCGCAAGGUUGAAACUCAAAGGAAUUGACGGAGGCCCGCACAAGCGGUGGAGCAUGUGGUUUAAUUCGAAGCAACGCGAAGAACCUUACCAGGUCUUGACAUCCCGAUGCUAUUUCUAGAGAUAGAAAGUUACUUCGGUACAUCGGUGACAGGUGGUGCAUGGUUGUCGUCAGCUCGUGUCGUGAGAUGUUGGGUUAAGUCCCGCAACGAGCGCAACCCCUACUGUUAGUUGCCAUCAUUCAGUUGGGCACUCUAGCGAGACUGCCGGUAAUAAACCGGAGGAAGGUGGGGAUGACGUCAAAUCAUCAUGCCCCCUAUGACCUGGGCUACACACGUGCUACAAUGGUUGGUACAACGAGUUGCGAGUCGGUGACGGCGAGCUAAUCUCUUAAAGCCAAUCUCAGUUCGGAUUGUAGGCUGCAACUCGCCUACAUGAAGUCGGAAUCGCUAGUAAUCGCGGAUCAGCACGCCGCGGUGAAUACGUUCCCGGGCCU